rnacentral:lncRNA from 10 species
UCUGUUUGCUUGUUUUGUUUUUUGUUUGUUCUUUUUGGGUUAAAUUAGAACUGGUGAGCCAGCUCCAACCUGGCAUUUCCAACUCGAAGUUCAUGGUUCUGUCUCCUCUCAGCUCCGUGCGCCAUCUUUGCCUGUUUCUUGGGUACUGAACCACGCUCAGCAGCAGGGCUGCCAGCCCUGAUUUCCUGGGUCAGUCAGGCAACAUAUCUGAAUUCUAAGAAAGCCACCUGGAGCAUAAUGACUUUCCUCUCAAGGUGAGACUGUGGCCAGCUAGUGAGAAAAUGUGAAUGAGGGCGAGGGGCAACUCUGGCCACCUUUUAGUCCCGUGGGCCAUGUAUAUUAGUCACAUAGGCUAGGUUUUGCUGCAAUUGCAGGUAACUCCACAACAGAACUUAUUUUUCAUCUGGGCUACGUGUCCACUGCAAUCCAGCCACAGCUCUGUUCCAUGCUUUCUUCUCUUGGGGACCAAGCCUGUUGGAUAAGGCACUAUCUGGAACAUGUUCUGGUCAUUGUGACAGCAAGAGAAAAGCCAGAGAACCACGUGCUAGCUCUUAAAACUUAUACUCCAAAGUGACACAUGUGACUUCUGCUCACAUUUCAUGGGCCAAAGCAAGUCAUUUGGCCAGAGCUGCAUAUAUCAGAAAGGAGGUGUCUAUUUCUCCUGCAGGGAGGGGCACUGAAUAUUUGGGACGGUCUUUUUCCAGGAAGAUACCAGCUCUGCCUAAAAUAUAGCAGUUGCAUGCGAUUUAGAAAUCUGACAAACAGGAUUGUCAGAAAAGAUCUGAAGGAAGCUGCCAUGUGGGGAAUUGUAAUUUUUUCCCCUAAAGAUUAUUUCAUGCUUGUUGGAUCCAUCAUAUUCUGAAAUCCUUUUGCUGUCCAACAAAUAUUGAUAAGUGGAGGCUAUUCAGUCACAUAGUUCUUAGGCAUAUCACGCCAUAGCUCCCUGACAUAUGCCUACUGGCUGCCUUAAUUUUCUCCCAAUUUGUAGCUCCAUGUUUCCCCAUCUUCCUCCCCACACCCCAUCUUUUUCUUUUUUUCUUUUUUUUUUUUUUUUUGCCCUUCUUCAUUUCUUCUCUGGUCUCCAAAACCCAGAUGACUGUGACUUUUCUGUGAUCACUUAAGAUUUUCAAGCUCCUCCCUCAAGAGGCUGGUAAUUUCCACUUGGAGCAUUUUCCUACUAUUUUGUCCAGCUAAGCAGUAGGUUCUUAGGAAAACUGUGUGUCUUGGAGAAUGAAUUUCCAUCAGAGGUUGGAGUGCAGUGGUGUGAAUAUGGUUUACUGAGGCCUCAAUCUCCUGGGUUCAAGUGAUCUUCAUAUCUCAGCCUUCUGAGUAGCUGGGGCUACAGGUGUAACCAGAACAGCUGCAGGUGGGGCCAGGAAGGGCAAGAGUGGAUCCCAAGAUCCUCCAGGUUGACACGUCACUCCUGAAAACAUUCUGCUUUAAACAGAAGCCACUUCGCUGCUCUGACGUGAAUUUCUAUAACCAAGACAUACUCUUCGACCUAGAGAGAUCAAGGCAUGAAAAAAUGGAACUUCUCAAGGAUGAGGAAACAGACUUUGAGAGGUAAAAUAACACGACGGAAUCUAUGCACUACCUGAUGGCUGAGCUGGGACUUAUCCCCAGGUCCAGUGGCCUCUAGAGCACAGGUGUGUUACUACCACCCCAUUCUGCCCAAGUGAAGCAAGCAGCAGAGAAAUAAUAUGCAGGUUUGCUUUCCAAGGAACCCAAAUGAAGAUAGAAUGACUCAAAGAGAAGAUGUAUAGAAGUACUUACAGCAUGUGGCACAUGGUCUCUGUGCCUGGGCACCAAGCAGACUGUGGUAUCAAUUACAGUGGACCCUGUGCAUCCCUCAGCCAUCCAGGCAGGUGCAGACACUCCUCAGGCUAGGGAUAGCCUCAGGAGACUGACUCAGCCAGAAGGUUGCCCUGGAGAAGACCAGGUAGUCCCUGUUGGCAUGCUCAGAGGACGUGUAGAUCUCUCAUGGAUGGUCAGGACAAUCACCAGUACCAGGAUAUCUGGAUCAGGUAAAAGAUAUUCCAAGAGGAGGUUCAGUUCAGAAGGCAAAUGGGGCAGCAAUCAGCACUGAGAUCCCUGUUCAUACACAAUGGGUAAGAGACCCAGGGACCUAAUUCAGCCCAAGGGAAUGGGUUCAGGUGGCGUCUGGGUGAGAAUCAGGGCCAGCGACCAUCAUCUGGGACUGAGAGGACAACUCAAUUCAGAGGCAGAAAUUCAGAUUUCUUGAGGGGCAAUCUAGCAUUUAUCUUUGAAUUAGCAUGAAUUCUUAUAGAAAUGCAGUGUUGCUUUAUAUGUAUAUGAUUUUGAGUUUACACAAAUAGUACAGUAUUAUGAACCUUGUUCUGUAUUUCACUUUUUAAAUCCUAGCACUGAUUUUUUAAAAACAUUUUCUUUCAGGUAUAUUUGUUUAUUUAUUUACUUAUGUAUAACUUUUAUACAGUAACAUGAAAAAUAUUAAGUGUGUAGCUCAAUGAAUUUUUAAUAACAGCUUUGUUGAGAUCUAAAAUCUCAAUCACUGAUCAUAAAAUUCACAGUUUUAAAGUUUCAGUAGUUUUUGGUAUAUUCACAGUUGUGCAAUCUUUACCACUGUCUAAUGCAGAAUAUCUUCAUCACCCCCAAAAUAAAUCCUGUACCCAUUAACAGUCACUUCCUGUUCUUCCCUGCUCCUCACCCGUGCACCCAUUAGUCUACUUUCUGUCUUAUGGAUUUGCCUCUGCCUCUGUGGAUGUUGGAUAUUUCAUAUAAGUAGAAUCAUAUAUGACCUUUCAUUUCUGGCUUCUUUUACUUAGUAUAAUGUUUUCAAGGUUCACCUAUGUCGUGGCAUGCAUAAGUACUUCAUUUCUUUUUACUGCUCAGUAAUAUUCCAUUGUAUGGAUAUACCACAUUUUGUUUAUCCAUUCUUCAGUUGAUGGACAUUUGGGUUGUCUCCACAUUUAAGGUAUUAUUGACAUGAAUAAUGCUGCUAUGAACAUUCAUGUAUAAGUUUUUGUGUGGACAUGUAGUUUCAAUUCUUUUGGGUGUAUACCUAUGAGUGGAAUUCCUGGAUCACAUGCUAAUUAUAUCUUUAACAUUUUGAGGAACUGCCAAACUGUUUUCCAAAAUGGUUGCACCAUUUUACAUUCUCACCAGGAAUAUAUGAGGGUUCCAAUUUCUCUACCUCCUUGCCAACACUUGUUAUUUUCUUUUUAAAUUAUAGCUAUCCUAGUGGGAGUGAAGUGGUAUCUCAUUGCACAUUUUUUUUUGCAUUUUCUGAAUGACUAGUGAUGUUGAGUAUUGUUUCAUGUGCUUAUUUUAGUGACCAUUUGUAUAUCUUCUUUGAAUAAAUAUCUACUCAAGUGUUCAUUGAAUUUUGACAUGUGUCAAGUUACCCUCGUGUAACUAUCACCCAAAUCAAGAUACAGAACAUUUCUACCUCCCUAGAAGACUCCCCUGUUCUUCUUCCCAGUCAACUUCUUUCCCCAAGAGUAACUAUUAUCCAUUUUUAUUUAUUUAUUUAUUUAUUUUUGAGAUGGAGUCUCACUCUGUCGCCCAGGCUGGAGUGCAGUGGCACAAUCUCGGCUCACUGCAACCUCUGCCUCCCGGGUUCAAGCAAUUCUCCUGCCUCAGCCUGCCGAGUAGCUGAG